AGUAAUGUCUGGGAAACUGCCUGAUGGAGGGGGAUAACUACUGGAAACGGUAGCUAAUACCGCAUAACGUCGCAAGACCAAAGUGGGGGACCUUCGGGCCUCAUGCCAUCAGAUGUGCCCAGAUGGGAUUAGCUAGUAGGUGGGGUAAUGGCUCACCUAGGCGACGAUCCCUAGCUGGUCUGAGAGGAUGACCAGCCACACUGGAACUGAGACACGGUCCAG
rnacentral:rRNA from 1 species